rnacentral:lncRNA from 1 species
GGAUUAGAAGUCACAGUGGCCGUGGCGGCAGUAGUUCUUUCAGGCCUCUGGUUGUUUCUGAUGAGUUGACACUAUCUUCUUCCCACUACCAUUUUGGAUUUCUCAUGUCUCUCAACCAACAGACCACAGGCCGGAGACAGUAACCUAUGAGCAACCUCAACACACAAGAAUGAGAAGCUACUUCUGUUUUGAUGCUUUUCCCUAAAUGAUCUAAGCAAACAGGAGUAUGGCAAAGAGCACAUCUUACCAAAGCCAACUUGGUAGCAGGCCACCUUGAUGCUAUCAAUUUUGCAUUCCCA